UGCAUUCAGAAGUAGAACUGA
rnacentral:miRNA from 1 species